rnacentral:tRNA from 1 species
GGGCAGGUGAUCCGAUUGGUAAUGGUGGUUCUCUGUAAAAGAAUUGGUUUAUAACCAUACUAGGUUCGAUUCCUAGACUGCUCA